rnacentral:tRNA from 1 species
UCUCGGAUGGUGUAACGGCAGCACACCGGAUUUUGGUUCCGGGCAUCUAGGUUCGAGUCCUAGUCCGAGAG